GGCCGCUUGGCGUAGUGGUAUCGCGCUUGCUUUGGGUCUUUGUAAGCGAAAUAUGCAAGAGGUCACGAGUUCGAUCCUCGUAGCGGCCC
rfam:Pseudozyma hubeiensis SY62 DNA, scaffold: PHS45.